ensembl:snRNA U5 U5 spliceosomal RNA
UUACUCUGGUUUCACCUCAGAUCAUAUAAAUCUUUCGCCUUUUACUAAAGUUUUCCAUGAGGUAGUUAACCUCUUUGAUAAAUCACAAAGUGGUUUAUGAAAAAAUAAAAC